rnacentral:rRNA from 1 species
CCUUACUAUUAGUGUCGUCCAAGUACUCGUGCCAGAAGACUCGGUAAGGCGAGAGACGCAAACGUUAGUCGUCUUGAUCAGGCGUAAAGGGUUUGUAGGCGGCUUUAAGUAUCUUAUUUUUAGUUUACUAUUUUAAUGUUUAUAAUUAUAAUUGAAUUUUUAUUUUUCCUUCAUUUAUAAAUUUUACUAAAUUAAUAAUUUUACAUUAAAAAAAUAAAGAAAGGAUCAAUUAAAGCUAGAAUCUAAGAGAGGUUAAAACAAUACUUUAGGAAGGAGUGCUAACCGUAGAUAAUGAGCAGAGUGUUAAGGGCGAAGGCAUUUAUCCAA